CUCAAAAAACCUACACUCUCUCAAACUCUCUCAAAAUAUCUGAGAUUUAAAAUACACUCAACUGCCCCGAAAUCAUUCAAAUCCCUGAGAUUUAAAAUACACUCAACUGCCCCGAAAUCACUUGAGGACUAACCCCCUUGGUUGUUUCUUCUCCUUCUUGGUUUGAUCUAGAGAGGAGAUGAUGAAAAUUGAGAGAAAAUAUCAUGUAAUGAUUGUUGGUAGUGGUAUUGAUUGAAGGAAUCGAUUCAAGCUACGAAAAAGGAUUAAUCAGGUUGAGUAAUAGUUUGGGGUUGGAAGCAGCAGUGAUGCUGCAACAGAGUUCUUGAAUAAGGCAGUAAAGCUGGUGAUGGUGGCAGGGCAAAAACUAAGGGUUGCCAAGGCUGGGAAGUUGAAGCCUAGUUUGGAUCGAUUCAAUGUUAGUGCUUCGUCUGUGUUUUCUCAGUUCCCACUUCUUGAAUCGAUUCAAUUGAUUCCAGUAGUUGCCUUAGCGUGGCCGGACAGACAGAAAAAAAGGAGGGAAUGACAUCACAGAGACCAGGAGUUUUACAAGUUAUAACAGGUAUGCCGGGAUAUUCGAGUAAAACAUCUUACUUUAUCUAAGAUAUUCUUAUUUCGUCACAUAGAUGAGAUAGAACAGGGAUCCCAUUUUUCACACUGUUUGGCAAUAUUUACUCAGUAGACAUUAGGAAAAUAAUCACACAUUUUAUGAAUGAACAUCCAAUCGCCACCCACUUCAGUGGAGUGUCACGUUUACGAAGAUCUCUCUUUCUACCCUUAUGUGAGAUUUCGCCUUGCGCUCAUUAAUUAUACUGAUGCAUCUUGUCUAUUUAGUUCUGGAUUGUGAAUGCGUUUUCUUAAUGCAGAUGUUGUUUUUUCUUAAUUGGUGCUGGUGUUCUUUUUCAAUUGCAAAUGGUUGUUGUAUUAGAACCAUUAUCAACUUGAUACAAUUUUGGUGUUGUCUAAUAACGGCAUCAGGUGGUAUUGAUUGUUAAAUGUCAGGGGAAAUUGAGCUUGUUGUAGGUGAACAUCGAAGACUGGAUCGAUUGCAGGUGGCUGUAGCUGCUGGCUGAGAUGCAACAACGAGUGCAUUUGGGUUGAAGUAAUUGGAAUCAACUCUAUGAAAUAAUUGCAGGCACUAGAGAGUAGUAUGUCGGUGGUCACAUGGAUCGAUUUCAGCUGGUGGUCGUUUGGGUCCAUCUGUGGCUAGAGAUGCUUAUGAGACACCAGGAAGAAGUGGAGAUAUGUGCUGGUUGGAUUUUUAAGAGAUUGCAGGCACCGUGGUUGUUGUCUGAAUCUGCCAGUUAACAUGAAUGAAGGUGUUUCAGUCUGUAGUAACUGGUGGGUGACUUAGACGUGGAUGAACAUUAGUGAUGAAGUUCAGUUCUGCGGCCAUGGAUGGAUAUAAGAUGCUAUGGUCGGAUCUUGGGAGGAUUUGCCGGAGUUUGUACAUCCCGUAAUAACGAGAUUUGGAAGGUUCAAGUCAAAGAAAAUGUUUGCAAUCAGUGGCCAAUUAUCCAUGAUUGAUACUUACAUCUGAGACUAAACCCAUUGCUUUCAUGUUAGCAAUGUUAAACUUAUCAAGUGGUGUUCUAUAUUUUUGAAAUCAAAUAAAAUAUAAGCUUUGGUUGGUUUCUAAUUUCUACUACUGGUCGCCGAAACAGGGUACCUACCGUGUGUAUUAGUAAUCUAAGAAACAAAUGAUUAGGAA